AAAGAAAAGAACCUAGCACAAGAGACUGAAUUGAAGUGCAAGAAAGGGAGAAAGAACCCUUUUACCCAGUUGACACCAACGAAAUUCUAGCAACGUAUCCUUGGGGUACAAGGCAAGCGGUCUUGGAGAAAUGCAUAGGGAACACUGGAACACACGUGUUAAUAGAAAUUAGCAAUCAUCCUUCCCCUGGUUUUCUAGACCAGACGACACAUGUCACAGAGCAGAGAUGACCUACCUAAAGUCACAGUUCUAGUUGGUGUCCCAAGACUCAACCGAGUGGCGAGAAUUCACCACCAUCAGAUCCCGUGAAGGCAUUACCUUCCAAAGCCUGCGGAGCCUCGGGAAUUUAACACUCUGAAUUCUGCAGCAAAAAGAUGCCUUGAGCUGUCUUGGCCGUAUCCUUAGCUUGGCUUCCUCCAGAUGGUACUGUGCUGGUGCAUUUCCUGAGCAUUAACGUGAAGUUGGUUUUCCUCCCGUCCCUGAUGGCACCCUCUGUCAGUGGCUGUCGCUUGGUCCUUCUCUUUGCCCAACCUCUGAGUAUUCUAGUGAUUAGAAUACUAUGACUACUAGGUCUUCUCGUCUCUGGCUACACACACAUUCCCUCCAAGGUCAGAGGUGUGCAUCCAAUUGGUGUCCACUUUCUACGUAGACGUCUCACAUCUCCAACUGAAGUUAUGCUGGCAUCUCAAAAUUCGUGCACGUAGUGGAGCACCUACUAUAUGUACAGUUCCUAGUGCUAAGGAAAUGCUUCCAAAGCCUACAAAACUACCACUUUUCACGAACUUGAACUUCUGAUUAGGAGACAAAGGACACUUGGUGAUAAGUGUGGUGUCAGAAGACCAAGAGGGUUGAUGUCGAAGGCAGAGAGUCUAGCACAGAAAUCGCUGCUUCACUGGGAGAGGCUUCGUCUGAGGGCAGAGAGGAACUGGUGUCUGAGGGAGAGCCUCUCGGACAAGGGGGUCCAGUGUGCAAAGACACCUGGAGCAAGGCUGCAGGCAUGGAGACACGUCCUCAUCCUGAACCUCUCCUCUUGAGUCACCGGGUCCUCCAGGAGCAGCGAGGCUGGUUGAUAAACACCUCUGUAACAAGAGCCUGAAACUAUCUCCAAGCAAUGAGCCGGCAGGACAGACCAUCCCCAGGAUGAGAACAAUUACCUGUGUGGAAGCGUCUACACCCUGGAACAGAUUGUCUUGUAAGAACCAGACUGGUCUCCUCCAGUUAAUGCCAGAUUAGCAGUUUUUAUGAAACCACCUCUCUGGACCAGACUUUGACCAAGACUACUUAGUAAUGAUACCUCUUGCCCCUUCAACAAUUUCCCCUUAAUUAUAAAACCUACUGUUCAUUUCGGUGUCUUAAAGUGGAAUCCAGGGCCACUGGCUUCUUUCAUUUGUUUGUCUUUCCUAUGCAUUGAUUGAAUUUCCAUCUCUGCUUUUCACUAAAACUCUUAAAAAAAGAAAUUUAAGUGUAAAAUA